UACAGAGGGUGCGAGCGUUAAUCGGAAUUACUGGGCGUAAAGCGUGCGUAGACGGCUAUCUAAGUCGGGUGUGAAAGCCCCGGGCUCAACCUGGGAAUUGCAUUCGAGACUGAAUAGCUAGGGUACGGUAGAGGGAAGCGGAAUUUCCGGUGUAGCGGUGAAAUGCGUAGAUAUCGGAAGGAACAUCAGUGGCGAAAGCGACUUCCUGGACCAAUACUGACGCUCAUGUGCGAAAAGCGUGGGGAGCAAACAGG
rnacentral:rRNA from 1 species